rnacentral:rRNA from 1 species
ACGGGUGAGUAACACGUAUCCAACCUGCCGUCUACUCUUGGACAGCCUUCUGAAAGGAAGAUUAAUACAAGAUGGCAUCAUGAGUCCGCAUGUUCACAUGAUUAAAGGUAUUCCGGUAGACGAUGAGGAUGCGUUCCAUUAGAUAGUAGGCGGGGUAACGGCCCACCUAGUCUUCGAUGGGUAGGGGUUCUGAGAGGAAGGUCCCCCACAUUGGAACUGAGACACGGUCCAAACUCCUACGGGAGGCAGCAUG